rnacentral:rRNA from 1 species
UACGUAGGGCGCAAGCGUUAUCCGGAAUUAUUGGGCGUAAAGAGCUCGUAGGCGGUUUGUCGCGUCUGCUGUGAAAGACCGGGGCUCAACUCCGGUUCUGCAGUGGGUACGGGCAGACUAGAGUGAUGUAGGGGAGACUGGAAUUCCUGGUGUAGCGGUGAAAUGCGCAGAUAUCAGGAGGAACACCGGUGGCGAAGGCGGGUCUCUGGGCCGUAACUGACGCUGAGGAGCGAAAGCGUGGGGAGCGAACAGG